UAUGUGUUCUGGUGGAAGGUUACAACGGAUCUUAUUUUGUAUUUGUAUUAGUUGGUGUAUGAAUCUAUUUCUGUGUUCUUUAGUUUCCUGUUCUUCUCCAGUAAAGAAGCAUGCAACACUCCCUGUCCUGGUUACAUUAAAUACUCUUAUUGAAAUAUAAGUAACAGAUUUAACACUGGCGACGAGGAUUAAACUGUUCUUCAGCAUGGCUCCAGGUAUCAGUGGAGCACCAGUGGGCUGACACAGCACAAUUGUGGGGUGCAAACAGGAACAACUCAUUCAGACUGCCAGCAGUACCUAACUUGAAUAAAGGAGCACUGACGAGUGUGUGGAUUCUCUUACCUCCCAGGAUGAGUUGUGCUCAGGGAUCUCAACAUCUGCAGUAAAUUCUUGCAACUUCUCAUACACACUGCAAGGCAGGCUGGACCACAGCUUCAUGCCCAAAGUUCAUUACAGAUCAAUAAAAAGACCUCCUGUUGGAAUCACUGACUCACUUCUGAUUUGUAUGAAUCUAUACUACCUCUCUGAACACGGUGCUACUGGACAAGGACGUUUAAAGAGCUGGGACCAUUCAGAAACUACCGUAUAGCAUGCUGCUUCCAUACCUGGUCCGAUGGCACCAUCUCUCCAAUGAUAUAUUCGGAAAGAGAGCAAAAAUUUAGAGAUUUCAGAAUCUUUGCUAUAUCCUGUGUGGCAGAAUCUUUCUGCCGGAUGUGUAUAAAGAGGGGGUCACCAAACAGACAGACACAGUGUUCAUUCCAGGGAGCGAUUUACAAGAGGAUGUUGUACGUGUGCAGUGUCUGUGAAGGCCGCAUGCACAGUGCCCUUUUUUCUGUGAUUUCUGCGUGGUCACUGGGAAAGUAAGUAUAGCCUAUAGGUGCAGGGUGUGUGGUGUGGGCCCGCACUAAGGUCGACCCUUUCAUAGUGCAGAGUGUGCGGCAUAGGGCCUCCCUGGAACCAUGGGCCUGUUAAAUCAGCCACUACUAUUUCUGCGAUUGUCACUAGCACAAGACUGUGUGCACAUCCCCUAAAACUGAAGACCUCUGUAUUAGGAAGCCCAGUGUUGCAAGUAGAAUUUUUCCUUAGUGGUACUUAAAAUGGGCGUGGCCAUGUGUCAGGAGGGGGCAUAGUCACACAAAACUAGGGGAGUAGCUACAUGACAAUAGGGCCAUGGCCACAUUAUGCCACAUACCGUAAUGCCCCUUACACAUUAUGCCAAACACCAUAAUGCCCAUUACACAUUAUGCCACACACCGUAAUGCUUAUUACACAUGCCACACACCAUAAUGCUUAUUACACAUUAUGCCACAGAGUGUAAUGUCCAUUACACAUUAUGCCACACACCAUAACACCCAUUACACAUUAUGCCACACACUGUAAUGCCCAUUACACAUUAUGCCACACACUGUUAUGCCUUACAUAUUAUACCACACAACAUAAUGCCUAUUACAUAUUAUGCCACACACAGUUAUGCCACUAACAUCAUUUUAUGUCCCACACACAAAAAUGCCCCUGAGAAAUUAUGCCCCAGUGGUGGGCUAGUGGUACUGAGUAAAACCACCAUAUUUCUUAAUGGUACUCCGUACCACACCGUACCACCCUAAGAACAACUGUACUUGUCCUUUGCUCCGGGCACUGACAACCCAAUAGCAACCCUAAAUGGCUGUCUAGCUGACUCCAGGAGUGGAUGAGUGCUAGUUGGCUGCGACUGAACCCGGAUAAAACAGAGGUCCUUAUGAUAGGACCGCAACAUCAAAGGACAAGACUGCAGCAUAGCCAAUCAACUGGACUUACACUCGGGGAUUCGGAAUUACAAACCACUGAUCUUGCGCGGAAUCUUGGCGUUGUCCUGGAUGGUGGCUUGACACUUAAACAUUAGAUAUCAGCCACAAUCAAAUCCUCAUUCUUUCACCUGAGGAACAUAGCCAGAAUCAAGCACUUAAUUCCCUCAGAUGAUCGCCAAAAGUCAUCCACGCAUUUGUAUCAUCUCGAUUAGAUUACUGUAAUGCCCUCUACCUUGGUCUCCCAGCAAGAGAAUUGCACCGCUUACAGCUGGUGCAAAACACAGCUGCCAGGCUGUUAACCAACCAGCCCCGUUCUAGCCACAUAACACCCAUACUCUACUCCCUUCACUGGCUGCCUGUAAGAUGGCGAAUCAUCUUCAAGAUUGGCUUACUGAGUUUCAAAGCACUACAUGACCAGGGCCCAAGGUACCUGAAGCAGCUACUGACCCCAUACUGCCCAACUCGAUUACUGCGAUCUGUAGAUGAAGGACUUUUAGCAGUACAUAGAAUCUCCCGUAAUUCAUCUGGGGGUCGAGCUUUUAGUCAUGCGGCUCCGACUCUAUGGAACUCACUUCCCCACACAGUGCGAGAGGCCCCAACUAUAGAAUCCUUCAAAAGUAGACUCAAGACUUUCCUUUUUACUCAAGCAUUCCCAUAAUUGUCCCUUUAGUAUCUCCAUGAUUCUGUAUUUUUUGAAAAUCUGCUCUGUACUUCAUUAUUUCUGUACUAUAUUAUGCUAUGUAUCUGUUAAGCGCCUUGAGUCCUAUUGGAGAAAGAGCGCUAUAUAAAUAAAAUUAUUAUUAUUAUUAUUAUUAUUAUUAUUAUUACUUUCAGAACUGAGGAAGCCACAAUAUGAAGUUUAUAGAAUGGACUGUAAUGUGGAGGUUAUUACUUGAGUGAAGAAGAUUUUUCCCUGAGCUACAGUUGUAUAGAUAUAAGCACAUGAAAUACUGGCUUGGUUGUUUUAGCUGAGAUGAGCACAUAUAGGUUCAAAAAAUAAACUGUAAAAGGCCACGCAUAAUACCAGCACAUCUGCGCCCUUACACUGAGUUGUAAAAUUCUCGCAAUGCAUCAAGCUCUGCCCCAGUGGCAUAUGCGCCAGGUUUACGUCAAGCGUUCUUGCACCCAGAUACAAUUACACCCUGAACUGGGUUUUUAUGUGUUUUGGUAAAAACACAUUUACUAUUAGGUUUGAUUUAAAUUGAAUAGCAUCUAAAAUAAUACAGAU